CACUUGCCUCUAAAGAAAUGUGUAUUUGAUGUUCAAGCAUUCUUAUUGGUUAGUUCAAUUCUGAUGACAAUAAGGGGUGUUGUGAUUGGCCCCACUUGCAGAUAGGGGGAGAUCGCGAACGUCAGGUCUUCCCAGUAUGAAAAUGUGAUGCAAGGGAUUUUGUCAUCGACAGCCAUCAACACUGUUAAGCCCUGCACAACUAACGUGCUGUUUCCCAUUUAACAACAGGUAUUUAUACAUGUUAUAUUUUGUAUUGUAUUUUUGUAUUUUGUUCGCCCAGUAUGAAAAUGUGAUGCAAGGGAUUUUGUCAUCGACAGCCAUCAACACUGUUAAGCCCUGCACAACUAACGUGCUGUUUCCCAUUUAACAACAGCAGAAAUAAAUGAUGCUCAACUGGGA